CCAACCCCAUCUCUUUCUCCCCAAACGGCACAAAUACCACGGGGCAAUGGAAGAAACUGAGCCCAGCCACCUCUAGGUUUUGCAUUCGCCACCGGGAUGAGAUCUGGCGGCUACAGCAGCGAUGACGGCUACGGCGGGGCAAAGGCAGGAUCUAGAGGAUGGGUGGUCCGCCUCAGAAUCUGCUGCAGCAAUAAGAAAAAGUGCUCGCCACUUUCUACCAGCAAGCAUGAUGCAUCUCAAUCUCAGGCUCUCUCACGUACAAAGAAGUAAUGAUUUUACUUUUUUGUCGGGUGUCCACCAUCACUUGAGCUGUAACCACUUGAAUGGCUGCCUUCAGCCAAGCUACAUUCUACGAUGACCGACUACUGCUGGAUUAUUAGGUGCUUGAUGGAAGGAUCGUCUAAGCAAACAUUUCGUUCUUUUGUACCAUGGUUUCAAGGUGGAAUUAGAAUAGAAUCUCUGCUCAAGCCUCGGAUUCCUUGAUGUUAUGCAGAUAUAUGGAACACAUAGAUUCAUCAUGAAGCAAACACAUCGAAGAUUUGCUUUAGGAGAGGACUGUGUGCUGUCAGAAGUUGUGAUAAUCAAGUGUUACAGAUGGAUUGGUUUGCUGCUUCAGAGUGACAAUAUUUGCCAUGUUCGGGUGUAACUAUAUUGGAGAUAAACAUGAUGGCACCUUGACAAUUGAGGUAUUCGACAAGCUCUUCUCUAUGAAAUCUUGGUGUUGUAUUGGCUUACUUGCCUUUCCAUCUGAACAAUUUUCUCCUGCUGGUCCUCCCUAAAAGCAUAUUCGUAUAUCUGUACAAGAAUUAACUUAUUCAACAUUUUAAAUAUAAAUACCAGUAUUCCAUUGUAACUUCAAUUGAUGCCAUAUUUCAUUUUCAUUUAUCCA